rnacentral:pre_miRNA from 1 species
UCCUUUGGAUGAGCAGAGAAAGUGGUUUCUUAACGUGGAACCCACUCCUGGUGAAGAUGCUGUGAA